rnacentral:rRNA from 1 species
GACGAACGCUGGCGGCGUGCUUAACACAUGCAAGUCGAACGGAAAGGCUCCAGCUUGCUGGAGUACUCGAGUGGCGAACGGGUGAGUAACACGUGGGUGAUCUGCCCUGCACUUCGGGAUAAGCCUGGGAAACUGGGUCUAAUACCGGAUAGGACCGCACGUUGGUGGGUGUGGUUGAAAGGUUUUCCGGGGGUGGGAUGAGCUCGCGGGCUAUCCGUCUUGUGGGUGGGGAAUGGCCUACCAAGACGUUGACGGGGAGCCGGGCUGUGAGGGUGGACCGGCCCACUUGGACUGAGAGACGGCCCAGAGUCCUACGGGGGGCGGCAGUGGGGAAAAUUGCACACUGGGGGCAAACCCGAUGCAGAGCCGCCGCGUGGGGGAUAAAGGGCUUUUGGUUGUAAAAUCCGUUCGCUCGGGACGCAGCGUUUUGUGGCGGUACCUGGAGAAGAAGCACCGGCUAACUACGUU